UUUUAAUUGGGAACCAUAGUAAAGCACACCUGCACUCAUACGCUCCCAUCUCUUCUCACUCUCUACACACCGGUCACCGGAGUAAACACCGGCCAAUUUUCCGGCCGGUUACCAGUAAAUUACAAGCAUCUAACAUCUUACCUCCUCCUCCCUCUCUCACAACCAUACACCCCAGCCCCCAUUCGCUCUAAAACAAACCGGCCACCACCAACCGGUGGUGGCAUACGGCGACGAGGCGGAAAGAAAAAGAUAGAGCAGACGGAGAGAGAGAGAGAGGGAGCAGCGAACGGAGAGAGAGGCAGACGAGCGGCAGGAGUCUCCGGCGGCGGCGAUCUCUGUCGCUGACAUCGAUGAUGAGGAUGAUGAUGAGGGUUUCGACGGCGGACAGAGUUACGAGCUGUGGAUCGAGUCGUUCUCCCUGCCACGGUGCACUCCAACAGUGGGGUUCCGAUAAUGACUUUUGAGGGUAAUGAUUCUGUGGUAGAUGAUGAAAGAUGAUGCGGUUGAUGUUCGGUUCGUUCAGCUUCAGUUCGGGUGCACAUCAGCAUGUUCGGGUCACGGUUCAGGUCAACUUGAUCAGAUUCCUUUCCGUUCGACCCGGUUCACUCGCUCAAGACUUGGUUCGGUUCAGGUUCGGGUCAACAUAAGUCAACAACGGUCAACAGUUCUGAUCGACUCGGUCAAAUACGAUCAAACUCGGUCAACUGAGGUCAAACUCAGUCAACACGAGACGCGGAAUGUCAUAGGUGCACGCCAGCUAAUUCAUGUUCUUGGAACGACACUACGGAAUCACGCUAGGCUAUGAUUGCACAUGGAAGUCCAGGUCGCAUUUUAAAAACUAUGGAACGGUUGGAAUAGGAGAAUCCAUGGGAAUUCGAGUACUUAGCAGGCGUUCAAUUUCUAGAAGUCGUAGCUUUUUGCUUCCGCUGUGCAAUGAAGAUACCGGUCCAGUCACGCCAUGCUCUGAUAUUUCGGGGUGUGACAAAUUUCUCCACAAUAAUUGCAGAGAAAUUAAUGAUGAAACAAUCCAACGUGUAUGACCCGAUCCAUUAACAUGAUCCGUAUAGUAAUUGCACUCACGUCGGAUUAAAUAAAAAAUACUAAUGUAAAACUUCAAAACCACACUGUAACCGACCAUAAUAUAUUCAAUUAAAGGGAUUAGAGCUCAACUUGCCAUUUGAUAAAGAAGCUCAUUCAAUACAUCAAAUUUUUAAAAUCUACACUCCCAAAAAGCCAAAAAAAAAAUAUAA